AAAAAAGAUUGAUUUUAUUACGACAUGCUAUUUUUUCCAUUCAUUACCUUUGAGGAUCAGUCGUGGUCUUCUAGACUCUACCAAGAGUCUGGACGAAUUUGUUGUUUCAUCCAAAUGUGUAAAAGAUCAUAG
rnacentral:rRNA from 1 species